AGAGCGGCCGUCUGGGUUCCAAGCAUACAAAACCGGCUCUUUUUCACUCUUAAGAUCUCCACCCUAUAAAUCAUACAGGGUUCGAAAACUUCUGGAGAAUCUUUUUGAGUAAGUUCUUACUUUUCAUUACUUAAUAAUUUUCAGUUCAGUAAGUAUUUUUUUGUGAUUUCAUCUUUGGUGCUUGUUUCGAUUUGGAAUUUUAGAAUGGGUUCAAGGUCAGAACCAAUACCAGUAGAAAUAAGUCCAUUAAAACAGGACCCAGCGUGGAGACAUGUACAAAUGUUUAAGAAUGAUGGAAAAGUUCAACUGAAAUGUAAAUAUUGUCUGAAACUAUUUAAAGGUGGUGGAAUCCAUAGAAUUAAAGAACAUUUAGCUAAUCGGAAAGGGAAUGCACCUUGUUGUCCAAGAGUUCCUCAAGAUGUUAAAAACCAAAUGUUACAAAGUUUAGAAGUUAUUGCAGUCAAGAGUGGUAAAAAACAAAAAGAUGCUAAUGGAGUAAAGAAUCUUGAACAAUCCGAGUUGGGUAGUUUGCAUGUCGUUUCCCAAUCGAAUUUAAACACUGGUUUACAAUUGCAUUCUCCUCAAAAUUUGGUUGAACAAAGUCCUCUGGGUAAUUUGCAUGUUGCUUCCCGUUUGAAUUUAAACACUGGUUUACAAUUGCAUUCACCUCAAAAUUUGGUUGAGCAAAGUCCACCAGGGUUUAUCACGCCACAAGAUGAAGGAAUGAGAAGUAGAGCUUCGGAUAAAAAGAAGAAAGGAAGAGUGGAGAAUUCUAGUUCCACUCUGGCCCCUUUGCCUCUUGAUACAUGUCCACCAAUAACGAAUGACCUUAACAGGGUGUCCACAGUAGAUAAGGAUCAAGUGCAUAUGGCAAUUGGGCGGUUUUUGUAUGAUAUUGGAGCUCCUUUAGAUGCAGUAAACUCAUCUUACUUCCAGCCCAUGAUUGAUGUGAUUGCAUCAAAAGGAUUAGGACUUCAAGCAACUUCGUACCAUGACCUUCGAGGUUGGAUUUUGAAAAAUUCGGGUGAAGAAAUGAGUGGCUUCUUGGAUAGACAUAAGGCAGCAUGGGGAAAGACUGGAUGUUCAAUCCUGGUCGAUGAAUGGAUUACAGAAACUGGCAGAAUAUUGAUAAAUAUUUUAGUUUACUGCGCUGAAGCUACCGUCUUUCUCAAAACUUAUGAUGUGUCUAAUAUAGUUACCUCUGUCGAUGCUCUUUAUGAACUGCUGAAGGAAGUAGUGGAAGAAGUUGGGGUAAGAAAUGUUGUGCAAGUGAUUAGUGACAGUACAGAUCACUACAUAGCAGCGGGGAAAAGGUUAACUGAAACUUACCCCACUAUGUAUUGGACCCCGUGUGCAGCUCGUGCAGUAAAUUUGAUUCUAGAAGAUAUUGGAAAACUCGAGUGGGUGAAUAUGAUCCUUGAGCAUGUUAAAAGAGUCACUAGAUUUAUCUACAACCAUGGUGUGAUUUUGAAUAUGAUGAGAAGGUAUACAGGUGGAAUGGAUUUAGUGCAACCUAGUCACACCCGCUCUGCCACAGACUUUACCUCGCUGAAAACCAUGGUUAGUUUGAAAGAUACUUUGCAGGGGAUGGUUACUUCGCAGGAGUGGGUGGACUCGGUACUCUCAAAGACGCCAGGAGGAAUUGCAGUGAUUGACAUCAUACUUAGUCAAUCAUUUUGGUCCUCAUGUUCUACCCUUGUUCUGUUAACAGAUCCUCUUGUGGGGAUUUUGAGUAUGGUUCACAGUCAUGAGCGCCCUUCAGUUGGUUACAUUCUUGCUGGAAUUUAUCGGGCCAAGGAAGCUAUCAAGAGAGUGCUGGUUGAGAAGAAAGAGUACAUGUUGUACUGGAAAAUUAUCGAUAAUAGGUGGGACCAGCUACUUCAGCACCCUCUUCAUGAGGCUAGUUUUUUCCUCAACCCGAAGUACUAUUAUAGUCUCAAAGGUGAUGUUCAUGAUAAGAUCCCAUCAGGAAUGUUAGAUUGCAUUGAGAGAUUAAUGCCUGAUAUUAAAGUCCAAGACAAAAUUAACAAAGAGAUGAUAGGAUACAAGAAUGUCGCAGGCGAUUUUGGACGUAAUAUGGCUGUUAGAGCAAGACAUACUCUGCUCCCUGCUGAAUGGUGGUCUACAUAUGCUGGAGAUUGCCCAAAUUUGGCACGAUUAGCUAUCCGUAUUUUAAGCCAGAACUGUAGUGCUACUGGAUGCAAGCGGGACCCUAUUCCUUUUGAACAAAUCCAUAAAACAAGAAACCGUCUUGAGCAUCAAAGGCUGUCAGACCUUGUAUUCGUCCAGUACAACUUGCGUUUGCAACAAAUUAAACUUCAGAAAAAUAGUGAGCCAGGAGCUAUGGACCCUAUCUCCUUAGAAAGCUGUAAUUUUGCCCAAGAGUGGGUAGCGGAGAAGGAAGAGUUCUUUGAAGAAGGGGAUUCUAAUUGGGUGGCACUAAAGCAUCCCGUCGGCAACACUAUGCCAUUAGAGUGGGUAACUCAAAAUGUUGACCAGGACAUUCAAGAUGAUUUAUUUGAAGACUUGUUUGCAGAUUUCAGGUAUCAAGAUAAAGGAUAUGGAAUGGGAAUCGACGACGAUGAUGAUGAUGAUAAGUAAUGAAGAUAACAAUUGACGACGAUGACAGGUGAUGUGAAGCUGAUUGUAUUAUAUGUAGGCAAAACUGUUUUAGGAAGAGAUUAGUGCAUUGACAUGAAUGAUAGUUAUUGUCAACGAGAUGUAGUUAAGGAUCAGUUGGUGUUGAUUUUUUUAUCAACCAAAGGUCAGCUAGUGCUUGUACUAUUUUUAGUUUAUUUUCAAAUGCGUAGACCUGAAUUUCUUUUGAGACAAAUUGGUGCCGGCAACUAAAAAACUUGCUUUUAUGUGCAUGAGGUGACCCUAUCAUGUUUUCUGUUUCUUUUUUCUUUGUUUGUCAUGCUUUCUGAAGAUGCUUGAUGCGCUGAUGGAUGGAGUAUAUUUCAUCGAAAUUGAGAUGCUUGAUUUGUUUUAUGGAUGUGGACACAGUAUUCUUCUUGUUGUGACUCGUAGCGUCAGCCGGCCAGUUUGGUUUUAAUGCCAUUUGGAAUCAAUUAGACUAAUUGACAAAACCUAUGGUCCAAAGACAAACUGGCCAGAGUUGGUGGGUUUGAGUGCAGAAGAAGCUCAAAACACGAUCAAAGAAGACAGGCCUGCAGUUCAGAUCCAAGUGGUUCCACCUGAUCACUUUGUCACCAU